GACGAACGCUGGCGGCGUGCCUAAUACAUGCAAGUAGAACGCUGAAGAGAGGAGCUUGCUCUUCUUGGAUGAGUUGCGAACGGGUGAGUAACGCGUAGGUAACCUGCCUUGUAGCGGGGGAUAACUAUUGGAAACGAUAGCUAAUACCGCAUAACAAUGGAUGACACAUGUCAUUUAUUUGAAGGGGGCAAUUGCUCCACUACAAGAUGGACCUGCGUUGUAUUAGCUAGUAGGUGAGGUAAUGGCUCACCUAGGCGACGAUACAUAGCCGACCUGAGAGGGUGAUCGGCCACACUGGGACUGAGACACGGCCCAGACUCCUACGGGAGGCAGCAGUAGGGAAUCUUCGGCAAUGGGGGCAACCCUGACCGAGCAACGCCGCGUGAGUGAAGAAGGUUUUCGGAUCGUAAAGCUCUGUUGUAAGUCAAGAACGGGUGUGAGAGUGGAAAGUUCACACUGUGACGGUAGCUUACCAGAAAGGUACGGCUAACUACGUG
rnacentral:rRNA from 1 species